UAUAAUUUAGUGUACGGUGCACCCAGGUCUUUGAAACCUGAAGAUAGAGUUCAAUACUCCUGAUUAUAA
rnacentral:tRNA from 1 species